GAAGAUUUUCACCCAUUGAGCUUGGAUUGAAGCUUCUUUGAGGUUAAUGUUUGAUCUUACGGUUGGUCGUAAUGCCCUCGUAUCUCUUCGCUGAUCACUUCUAGGGCAUUUUGAGGCUCGUGGGCAACUCCGUUCGGCGAAUCGAAGGAGCACGCGACGGUUCGAGCCUUCCACUCAGGGUGAGGCCAGGGAUCGCGGAAAGGG